AGUGAACGCUGGCGGUAGGCCUAACACAUGCAAGUCGAACGGCAGCACAGUAAGAGCUUGCUCUUACGGGUGGCGAGUGGCGGACGGGUGAGGAAUACAUCGGAAUCUACUUUUUCGUGGGGGAUAACGUAGGGAAACUUACGCUAAUACCGCAUACGACCUACGGUUGAAAUCAGGGGAUCUUCGGACCUUGCGCGAUUGUAUGAGCCGAUUUCGGAUUAGCUAGUUGGCGGGGUAAAGGCCCACCAAGGCGACGAUCCGUAGCUGGUCUGAGAGGGUGAUCAGCCACACUGGAACUGAGACACGGUCCAGACUCCUACGGGAGGCAGCAGUGGGGAAUAUUGGACAAUGGGCGAAAGCAUGAUCCAGCCAUACCGCGUGGGUGAAGAAGGCCUUCGGGUUGUAAAGCCCUUUUGUUGGGAAAGAAAAGCAGCAGGUUAAUACCCCGCUGUUCUGACGGUACCCAAAGAAUAAGCACCGGCUAACUUCGUG
rnacentral:rRNA from 1 species